GGGUCGGUAGCAAAGUCUGGCCAAAUGCAGCAGACUGUAAAUCUGCCGGCAUUACGCCUUCGGGGGUUCAAAUCCCUCCCGGCCCA
rnacentral:tRNA from 1 species